GCCACGUAUAAAUAUCAGCGUUCACGGGGUGCGGUUUUAAGGGGGUUACUGGUUUCAAGCAUCGCAAAGUUAAGAUAUUGGGAUGCACCAGAUUAAACGUGUUUUUUUAUUUUAGAGAAUAAAUAACGGAGGCAACUGGUGGCUUUCCGAAAAUAUAUAAAAAAACAACAGCAACGUUUUGGUCUGUGGAGUGGCAGAUCGCGGGGUUCGGAUUUAUUCGGCUCGUUUUCCUCGCGACAACGUGGCAACUCCGAGCUGAAGUCGGCCCGGAUAGAGAGCGAGUGGGACCGUUAGUUCCCGAGGUAGCCUCGGCCUCGCCGAUCUCCGUCCGUCCGGCUCCGGGGCUGCUCUCACCGGCAUUUCAGAAGGAAGCAGAAGUCGAGUCCAAGCGGACGAGGUCGCACAUCGUGAGCUGCUACCUGACAGCAUUUGGCAGACGGCCUUAUCCAGAGCGACUUACGACGUGCUUUCAAGUUACCAUCGAUGAGGUGAUCAGUUCCGGUUCACUAGGACCCCCAACUAUGAAUACAGUUUCUGUACACAAGUUCAACAAUAAGAAAGUUACACGGUAAUCUAAAUAUUCUCUUGAGCUGUCUUUUGAAAAUACUCAGUGACUGAGCUGUUCUGACCUCAAGGGGAAGUUCAUUCCACCACCGAGGGGCCAAGACAGAGAAGAGUCUAGAUGAAUGUCUUGGAGGGAGAUGGAGGGACCAGGCGAGAAGUACUGGAGGCUCGGAGUAUACGAGGUGCAGUGCGAGGUGUAAUAAGGGCUGUGAGGUAGGAUGGUGCUGCUCCAUGUUUGGCUUUGUAGGCCAGCAUCAGUAUUUUGAAUCUAGUUAAAAUACAAAAAGGUUUUUCAUCUUUCAAACAUUAACUAUGACAUUGUUCAGGAAAUAAAUCUUUAUUUAUGUGCUAUAAGAACUGGGGGUUGUUUUCUCCCAACGCUCUAAAAUCAAAGUCUAAAGAUGGGAAGCAAUGUUGUAUUCCUGCUUAGAGGAUGACAGGGUCUCUUUCUCUAAACACG
ensembl:lncRNA